GACGAACGCUGGCGGUGUGCUUCACACAUGCAAGUCGAACGAGGUAGCAAUACCUAGUGGCGGACGGGUGAGUAACGCGUGGGAAUCUGCCUUUAGAUGGGGGAUAACGGGUCGAAAGACUCGCUAAUACCGCAUAUGACGAAAGUUGAAAGGAGUAAUCCGUCUAAAGAUGAGCCCGCGUCCGAUUAGCUAGUUGGUAGAGUAAAAGCCUACCAAGGCGACGAUCCGGUAGCUGGUCUGAGAGGAUGAUCAGCCACAAUGGGACUAGAGACACGGCCCAUACUCCUACGGGAGGCAGCAGUGGGAAUUUUACGCAAUGGCGAAAGCCUGACGUAGCGACACCGCGUGAGCGAAGAAGCCCCUUGGGGUGUAAAGCUCUGUCAGCUGGACGAAAAAAUGACGGUACCAGCAGAGGAAGCAUCGGCUAACUACGUGCCAGCAGCCGCGGUAA
rnacentral:rRNA from 1 species